GAUGAACGCUGGCGGCGUGCCUAAUACAUGCAAGUCGAGCGAACAGACGAGGAGCUUGCUCCUCUGACGUUAGCGGCGGACGGGUGAGUAACACGUGGAUAACCUACCUAUAAGACUGGGAUAACUUCGGGAAACCGGAGCUAAUACCGGAUAAUAUAUUGAACCGCAUGGUUCAAUAGUGAAAGACGGUUUUGCUGUCACUUAUAGAUGGAUCCGCGCCGCAUUAGCUAGUUGGUAAGGUAACGGCUUACCAAGGCGACGAUGCGUAGCCGACCUGAGAGGGUGAUCGGCCACACUGGAACUGAGACACGGUCCAGACUCCUACGGGAGGCAGCAGUAGGGAAUCUCCCGCAAUGGGCGAAAGCCUGACGGAGCAACGCCGCGUGAGUGAUGAAGGUCUUCGGAUCGUAAAACUCUGUUAUAGGGAAGAACAAAUGUGUAAGUAACUAUGCACGUCUUGACGGUACCUAAUCAGAAAGCCACGGCUAACUACGUG
rnacentral:rRNA from 1 species